rnacentral:rRNA from 1 species
AUUGAACGCUGGCGGCAGGCCUAACACAUGCAAGUCGAGCGGAGCGUCUGACGGGUGAGUAAUACCUAGGAAUCUGCAUGGUAGUUGUGGAUAACGUUCGGAAACGGACGCUAAUACCGCAUACUAUCAGAUGAGCCUAGGUCGGAUUGGCUAGUUGGUGAGGGAAUGGCUCACCAAGGCUACGAUCCGUAACUGGUCUGAGAGGAUGAUCCGUCACACUGGGACUGAGACACGGCCCAGAAUCCGACGGGAGGCAGCAGGGGGGAAUAAUGGACAAGGGGCGAAAGCCUGAUCCAGCAAUGCCGCGUGUGUGAAGAAGGUCUUCGGAUGGUAAAGCGCUUUAAGUUGGGAGACGUUACCGACAGAAUAAGCACCGGCUAACUCGGUGCCAGCCGCCGCGGUAAUUC